AUUGCGAAGGCAGCUCACUGGACUGCAACUGACACUGAUGCUCGAAAGUGUGGGUAUCAAACAGGAUUAGAUACCCUGGUAGUCCACGCAGUAAACGAUGAAUACUCGCUGUUUGCGAUAUACAGUAAGCGGCCAAGCGAAAGCAUUAAGUAUUCCACCUGGGGAGUACGCCGGCAACGGUGAAACUCAAAGGAAUUGACGGGGGCCCGCACAAGCGGAGGAACAUGUGGUUUAAUUCGAUGAUACGCGAGGAACCUUACCCGGGCUUAAAUUGCAACAGAAUAUAUUGGAAACAGUAUAGCCGUAAGGCUGUUGUGAAGGUGCUGCAUGGUUGUCGUCAGCUCGUGCCGUGAGGUGUCGGCUUAAGUGCCAUAACGAGCGCAACCCUUAUCUUUAGUUACUAACAGGUCAUGCUGAGGACUCUAGAGAGACUGCCGUCGUAAGAUGUGAGGAAGGUGGGGAUGACGUCAAAUCAGCACGGCCCUUACGUCCGGGGCUACACACGUGUUACAAUGGGGGGUACAGAAGGCGGCUACCUGGUGACAGGAUGCUAAUCCCAAAAACCUCUCUCAGUUCGGAUCGAAGUCUGCAACCCGACUUCGUGAAGCUGGAUUCGCUAGUAAUCGCGCAUCAGCCAUGGCGCGGUGAAUACGUUCCCGGGCCUUGUACACACCGCCCGUCAAGCCAUGAAAGCCGGGGGUACAUGAAGUACGUAACCGCAAGGAGCGUCCUAGG
rnacentral:rRNA from 1 species